ACACUCCUGCGGGAGGCAGCAGUGGGGAAUCUUGCGCAAUGGGCGAAAGCCUGACGCAGCCAUGCCGCGUGAAUGAUGAAGGUCUUAGGAUUGUAAAAUUCUUUCACCGGGGACGAUAAUGACGGUACCCGGAGAAGAAGCCCCGGCUAACUUCGUGCCAGCAGCCGCGGUAAUACGAAGGGGGCUAGCGUUGCUCGGAAUUACUGGGCGUAAAGGGAGCGUAGGCGGACAUUUAAGUCAGGGGUGAAAUCCCGGGGCUCAACCUCGGAAUUGCCUUUGAUACUGGGUGUCUUGAAUAUGAGAGAGGUGUGUGGAACUCCGAGUGUAGAGGUGAAAUUCGUAGAGAUUCGGAAGAACACCAGUGGCGAAGGCGACACACUGGCUCAUUACUGACGCUGAGGCUCGAAAGCGUGGGGAGCAAACAGGAUUAGAUACCCCAGUAGUCCCAUG
rnacentral:rRNA from 1 species